rnacentral:tRNA from 1 species
GGAUAUCCCUCAGUUGGUAAAAUGUUUGCCUCAGAUGCACAAGGCCCUGGGUUCAAUCCCCAGUACCA